rnacentral:rRNA from 1 species
UACAGAGGGGGCAAGCGUUAUUCGGAAUUAUUGGGCGUAAAGAGCGUGUAGGCGGCCCGGUAAGUCCGCUGUAAAAGUCGGGGGCUCAACCCUCGAAAGCCGGUGGAUACUGUCGGGCUAGAGUACGGAAGAGGCGAAGUGGAAUUCCUGGUGGUAGGCGGGUGAAAAUGCGGCAGAUAUCAAGGAGGAACACCGGAAUUGCGAAGGCAGGCUCGCUGGG